rnacentral:rRNA from 1 species
UCAGCGGCUAAGCGAAAGCAUUAAGCAUCCCACCUGGGGAGUACGCCGGCAACGGUGAAACUCAAAGGAAUUGACGGGGGCCCGCACAAGCGGAGGAACAUGUGGUUUAAUUUGAUGAUACGCGAGGAACCUUACCCGGGCUUGAAUUGCAGAGGAAGUAUUUAGAGAUAAUGACGCCCUUCGGGGUCUCUGUGAAGGUGCUGCAUGGUUGUCGUCAGCUCGUGCCGUGAGGUGUCGGCUUAAGUGCCAUAACGAGCGCAACCCCUCUCUUCAGUUGCCAUCAGGUUAUGCUGGGCACUCUGGAGACACUGCCACCGUAAGGUGUGAGGAAGGUGGGGAUGACGUCAAAUCAGCACGGCCCUUACGUCCGGGGCUACACACGUGUUACAAUGGCCGGUACAGAGGGACGGUGUAAUGCAAAUUGCAUCCAAUCUUGAAAGCCGGUCCCAGUUCGGACUGGGGUCUGCAACCCGACCCCACGAAGCUGGAUUCGCUAGUAAUCGCGCAUCAGCCAUGGCGCGGUGAAUACGUUCCCGGGCCUUGUACACACCGCCCGUCAAGCCAUGAAAGCCGGGGGUGCCUGAAGUCCGUGACCGCAAGGAUCG